CAGAUUGAACGCUGGCGGAAUGCUUUACACAUGCAAGUCGAACGGUAGAGGGGGCAACCCCUUGAGAGUGGCGAACGGGUGAGUAAUAUAUCGGAACGUGCCCAGUCGUGGGGGAUAACGUAGCGAAAGUUACGCUAAUACCGCAUACGAUCUAAGGAUGAAAGCGGGGGAUCGCAAGACCUCGCGCGACUGGAGCGGCCGAUAUCAGAUUAGGUAGUUGGUAGGGUAAAGGCCUACCAAGCCAACGAUCUGUAGCUGGUCUGAGAGGACGACCAGCCACACUGGAACUGAGACACGGUCCAGACUCCUACGGGAGGCAGCAGUGGGGAAUUUUGGACAAUGGGCGAAAGCCUGAUCCAGCCAUUCCGCGUGCAGGAUGAAGGCCCUCGGGUUGUAAACUGCUUUUGUACAGAACGAAAAGGUUUCUAUUAAUACUAGGAGCUCAUGACGGUACUGUAAGAAUAAGCACCGGCUAACUACGUGCCAGCAGCCGCGGUAAUACGUAGGGUGCAAGCGUUAAUCGGAAUUACUGGGCGUAAAGCGUGCGCAGGCGGUUAUAUAAGUCAGAUGUGAAAUCCCCGGGCUCAACCUGGGAACUGCAUUUGAGACUGUAUAGCUAGAGUACGGUAGAGGGGGAUGGAAUUCCGCGUGUAGCAGUGAAAUGCGUAGAUAUGCGGAGGAACACCGAUGGCGAAGGCA
rnacentral:rRNA from 1 species